GACGAGCCGAGCGAACGUUGUUCGGAAUUACUGGGCGUAAAGGGCGCGUAGGCGGCCUGUUAAGUCGAACGUGAAAUCCCCGGGCUCAACCCGGGAACUGCGUCCGAUACUGGCAGGCUUGAAUCCGGGAGAGGGAUGCGGAAUUCCAGGUGUAGCGGUGAAAUGCGUAGAUAUCUGGAGGAACACCGGUGGCGAAGGCGGCAUUCUGGACCGAUAUUGACGCUGAGGAGCGAAAGCCAGGGGAGCAAACGGG
rnacentral:rRNA from 1 species